GUCGAACGCUGGCGGCGUGCCUAAUACAUGCAAGUCGAGCGAAUGACGAGAAGCUUGCUUCUCUGAUUUAGCGGCGGACGGGUGAGUAACACGUGGGCAACCUGCCCUACAGAUCGGGAUAACUCAGGGAAACCUGGGCUAAUACCGGAUAAUCCUUCGAAUCACAUGUUUUGAAGUUGAAAGGCGCUUCGGCGUCACUGUAGGAUGGGCCCGCGGUGCAUUAGCUAGGUGGUGGGGUAACGGCCCACCAAGGCAACAAUGCAUAGCCGACCUGCGAGGGUGAUCGGCCACAUUGGGACUGAGACACGGCCCAAGCUCCUACGGGAGGCAGCAGUAGGGAAUCUUCCACAAUGGACGAAAGUCUGAUGGAGCAACGCCGCGUGAGUGAUGAAGGUUUUCGGAUCGUAAAACUCUGUUGUAAGGGAAGAACAAGUACGUUAGGAAAUGAACGUACCUUGACGGUACCUUAUUAGAAAGCCACGGCUAACUACGUGCCAGCCGCCGCAGUAA
rnacentral:rRNA from 1 species